AAUAGAUACCCAGGUAGUCCACGCCGUAAACGAUGUCGACUUGGAGGUUGUUCCCUUGAGGAGUGGCUUCCGGAGCUAACGCGUUAAGUCGACCGCCUGGGGAGUACGGCCGCAAGGUUAAAACUCAAAUGAAUUGACGGGGGCCCGCACAAGCGGUGGAGCAUGUGGUUUAAUUCGAUGCAACGCGAAGAACCUUACCUACUCUUGACAUCCAGAGAACUUAGCAGAGAUGCUUUGGUGCCUUCGGGAACUCUGAGACAGGUGCUGCAUGGCUGUCGUCAGCUCGUGUUGUGAAAUGUUGGGUUAAGUCCCGCAACGAGCGCAACCCUUAUCCUUUGUUGCCAGCGGUCCGGCCGGGAACUCAAAGGAGACUGCCAGUGAUAAACUGGAGGAAGGUGGGGAUGACGUCAAGUCAUCAUGGCCCUUACGAGUAGGGCUACACACGUGCUACAAUGGCGUAUACAAAGAGAAGCGACCUCGCGAGAGCAAGCGGACCUCAUAAAGUACGUCGUAGUCCGGAUUGGAGU
rnacentral:rRNA from 1 species